GGGUAUAUAGCUCAAGUGGUAGAGCGCAUGCUUAUGCACAGGGUCCUGGGUUCAAUUCCCAGUACCUCCU
rnacentral:tRNA from 1 species